rnacentral:lncRNA from 1 species
CUUCUUCGGCGAAGAAAAUGGCCAGGCACCCAGGCGUCGACUGGUCGACGACGGCUCUGUUCCAACAAGUCCGCGUCGUCGGCGUCCGGCCGGGCGCGCUGCAAAGUCAUGACAGAAGAAAAAAAACAUGCGCGAGCGUGACGGGCAAGAAGACUCCAGCAGAUCGAGGUUAAUUGCUAGUACAUUUCAACUCUUGGCCGCGGCACAAACACGUGCUUGUCCCUCUGUUAAUUACUACUAUAUUGCUAGAUUUCAACUAAUAUAGGCGACAAAUAAAAAAGAACGGAGGGAGUAAUUAGCAUCUGGAAUCAAUCCAUAUAUAUAGGAGGAUUACAUACAUAUGCAUCUGCAUGCAGCUGGGCAUGGCGAGCGCGCUGGAGACGCUGUGCGGGCAGUCGUACGGGGCGAAGCAGUACCACAUGCUGGGCAUCUACCUGCAGCGGUCGUGGAUCAUCCUGUCGGCGUGCGCCGUGGUGCAGCUCCCCGUGUACCUGUUCACGGAGCCGCUGCUGGUGGCGCUGGGGCAGGACCCGGACAUCUCGGCGGUGGCGGGGACCGUGGCGCUCUGGUACAUCCCCGUGCUCUUCUCCUUCGUCUGGGCCUUCCCGCUGCAGAUGUACCUGCAGGCGCAGAUCAAGAACAUGAUCAUCACGUACCUCGCCAUGCUCAACCUCGGCCUCCACCUCGCCCUGUCCUGGCUCGCCGCCGUCCACCUCCGCCUCGGCCUCGCCGGCGUCAUGGGCUCCAUGGUCGUCGCCAUGUGGAUCCCCGU